rnacentral:misc_RNA from 1 species
UACAGAGGGUGCGAGCGUUGCUCGGAAUCACUGGGCGUAAAGCGCGUGUAGGCGGACGAUCAAGUCAGAUGUGAAAGCCCUGGGCUUAACCCAGGAACUGCAUUUGAAACUGGGCGUCUUGAGUGUUGGAGAGGGAAGCGGAAUUCCUGGUGUAGAGGUGAAAUUCGUAGAUAUCAGGAGGAACACCGGUGGCGAAGGCGGCUUCCUGGACAACAACUGACGCUGAGACGCGAAAGCGUGGGGAGCAAACAGG